ensembl:snRNA U6 U6 spliceosomal RNA
GUGCUGGCUUCGGCAGCACAUAUACUAAAAUUGGAACGAUACGGAGAAGAUUAGCAUAGCCCUGCUCAUCAAGGAUGAUGCGCAAAUUCAUGAAGCGUUCCAUAUUUUU